rnacentral:lncRNA from 1 species
GAGGUGCUAGCUUGACCUCGAGCUGAUUAGGGGAGGUGCUAGCUUAUCCAAAGCCGUCUGACACACAAUUUGUUUAAAGAUAGAGCACUAAAAGUUGUGUUUAGAGGUCUAACUUGCAUUUCAUAUAGAGUUAUUCGUCCAAAGGUAGUGUUAAAAUAAGAACGACCAGUAAUAGUAUUUUAACAUCUUCAAACUGUAAUAACUGAAUCAUAGAAAACCCAAAUAAGAAAACAGACAUAUCUUAAAAUAAAGUAUCUAACGUGAUAAGCAGGUCGGAAUCAAGUUGCUAUCGGGAGGUGCUUAAGGGUUUCCCGACAUGCUAGCUUGAGG